rnacentral:lncRNA from 1 species
AUGGGUCCCCUGAGGACGCUUCUGUCCUUGGCGGGGUUGAUGGCCUUUGCUGUGAGGCCUGUUGUGUUCCUGGAAAGCUGUCCUGCACCCCAGCAUUUUGAAUUUAAAUUCUCCCAGCAAAUUUUCCUGAGUCAUCUAUGCUCAUGGAACCCUAGAAAUUAUUCUGCUUGGAAUGAACAGCCUCCCACUUGAAUUGGUGGUGGGCAGUGCCAGUCAGCAGUUGUGCGACAUCACAAAGUCAAACUGGACAGCAGAGGAGGCUGACUCAUGCCCUUGGCCUCCUUAGCAUCAGGCACUAACUAACUGAGCUAACUGGCCAAAGAUAAGGACUUCAAUUCAAAUAACAAAUUAACAGUUUCCCAUAACUCCAUUAAUGCAUGGCUGUGAUCCCAUGAAAUUGCAUCUCUGACAAACUGGCUGCACUAAAAUUUACUCUAUGUAAAAUGAUUGUGCUAAUUACUUUCUCUUUAUGCUCUUAUAAUCGGCUGGCUGGCAAUAACAUUUGCAAUGUAGUCAUGCACUAAUGAGAAAAGCCAUCCAAUCUCAUGCUGCAGGUCAUUAGUAAAUGGCUUGAGGGGUCAAAGGGUAACUUCCCCCUUUGGUGCAGUUGAAGAGGCUGAUGGAGCAAACAUCUUUUCUUUUCUUUUUAAAACUAUUUUAUUUUUUUGAAGCCAGAUUUGUUAACCAAAUCUGGAUAUUGAUAGAGUAGUGAGUUUGUCAAGGCCUUGGGCCUUUUAUAAGCACUUUCAACUUUUCCCUUUUUAGAAAUAGACUUCAGAAAUAUUGUAAAAUUGGUAGUUUUUCUUAGUAAUUUCCCAAAUCCCAUUCCAUUUUUCCUCUUCUUCCCUCAGCACACACACACACACACACACACACACACACACACACACACACGGGUAGCUUGCUCGUUUAGAUCCUGACUACUUUAUAUUAAUGAUUCUCAACAGGCGUGGUAUUGUCUAAUACAGUAUGUCACUGGGCAUACUUUUGGACUUCACAGUGAAAAUGAUAUACAGCCAAGAUUUCAGACAUCCUGCAAUGCAUGAGGCAGUGAUGCACAUCAGUAAAUUGGUCCCAGUCCACAAGUCUUUCAGAUGCCCC